rnacentral:rRNA from 1 species
AUGAACGCUGGCGGCGUGGAUAAGGCAUGCAAGUCGGACGAUUUCCUUUUUUGAAGAAGAUGCGAUUACAUCAAGUCAACUGAUAUUUUGGAGGUAGUGGCGAACGAGCUAGUAACACCUUGGUACGUACCCAAAAGUUUGGUAUAGCUCGCCGAAAGGCGGGGUAAUCCCAAAUAAUCCCUCUAUCUAUCGGAUAGAAGGGUAAAGUCGCAAGACGCUUUUGGAGCGGCCUAGGACCGAUCAGUUAGUUGGUGAGGUAAUGGCUCACCAAGACGAUGACCGGUAGGGG